AGCUCCAAUAGCGUAUAUUAAAGUUGUUGCAGUUAAAAAGCUCGUAGUUGGAUUUCGGAACUGGCCGAUUGGUCCGCCCUCUGGGUUGUGUACUGAUCGGUCUGUUCUUCUUCGCGAAGACCGCGUGUGCCCUUAACUGGGUGGGCGUGGGAUUCACGACGUUUACUUUGAAAAAAUUAGAGUGUUCAAAGCAGGCAUUAGCUUGAAUAUCUCAGCAUGGAAUAAUAGAAUAGGACUUUGUUCUUAUUUUGUUUGUUUCCGAGACCGAAGUAAUGAUUAAUAGGGACAGUUGGGGGCAUUCGUAUUUCAUUGUCAGAGGUGAAAUUCUUGGAUUUAUGAAAGACGAACUUCUGCGAAAUCAUUUGCCAAGGAUGUGUUCA
rnacentral:rRNA from 1 species